rnacentral:lncRNA from 1 species
AUUUCUCUAAGCAUCAGAAGGAUCUUGAGUGAAUCAAUAUAUAUUCCUUCUCCCCACAAUGCCUGGGGCCUCUCUGGAUGUCACGUAUCCCUCUUCACUCACUACUUUUCCCCCUCCAGCACCUGGACGCUCCCACUCUAACCCAUUCGGAAAGCUGUCCACUAUAAGAAGCCCCAGAGCGAGAGCUUGACAGCCAGGCAGAUUAUGGCCAGGGGCUGAGGAGAGGGAGCCAAAGCUACACUUACUGCAUCUGUUUCUCCAACUGCCACCUGCUCAGAAAAUCGAACCUUCACAGGAUUGGACCUCAACUUGGCCUUCUUCGCAGCACUGAUGAAAGCAGAUUUGGGGGACUGGAAAAAGAACAGAGAGAUGCUGUUUGGAGAAAGAGGCAAAGAAUAAUGAAGUAAGCCUGCAUAAGGAGAUAAUUCAAACACUGUAUCACUCUGUCACCCAGGCUGAGUGCAGUGGUACAAUCUUGGCUCACUGCAACCUCCGCUUCCUGGGUUCAAGUCAUUCUCCUCCCUCAGCCUCCUGAGUAGCCGGGAUUACAGGUGCAUCAUUCCUCACCUGGAAGAGGAAGUAACAGAGCCAUUGGCUGUGUGGGGCAUGAAGCCCCAAGCUCUGAUGCUGAAACAUGCACCCCUCUACCCUAGGCCAUGGUGGAGGGUGCGGAAGAUACAGCCUGGAUGAUGUACAGUUCAUCUCCCCUUCCUCUACUAAUUAGUGUUUGUUGAGCCCCUGCAAUGUGUGUCUGGAUCAGGCCUGGAGGAUACCUUGAUGAAAGAGGCCCCUGAAGAGUU